AGAGGUAAUGGAACUAAUUGACUCAUCAUUCAGAUAAUUAUUUUCCUCAUUUGAUAGAACCAUUAUUGAUAUGGAUGAGAGCUAAGAGAUGAGAGGAUAUAAUGUAUUCGUAUCCUUUCUAAUAAUAACUGUACACACAUAUCUAUUAAUAUUCUGUAUUUGAAACUGAAGCAAAGGGGAAGAUGAUGGAGAAGCAUACAACAGCCAAGACAAGCACUUGGAUAUGAAAAAAAAUAAAAACAAAAGAAAAUUGUAAUGGGGACCUUCACACAUGGGUGUUAGAAAGAGAAGUAUAUAGUGGAGCCAACACCAAAGCUCAUCUUAAGAAUCUUUUCUAGCAAUAUGUUGGUUGCAACCAUCUUCUCUACCUUUUAUUCUUCUUAUAUUUCAACAUCGAUAAUCUUUCGUUUUAAUCAUUUUUCCCUUGGAAAAGAAUAUAUACUUUUUCAGUUACUGUUGUAAUGCAUCAGCCAUUUUCUGGUUGUUCCAUGGAUCGGAAUACUAGUAAGAAAUCAGUUGAAGUUCGAAGAUAAGUCUUUCUCAGAAACAGAGGUAUUGGUUAAAGCUAUUAAGGCGAGGCCCGGACCUGAGCAGAUACACAAGAAACAUUUGCAUUGGGCCUACAAUUUGUAUAGUUUUUUUUUAUUUCUAUUUUCUGUUUUUGUUGUUCGUAUGUGAAAGGAAACAUAAAUUCUAAGACAGUGUUUUGAACAUAUAAUAUGAUUUUAAACAUAUAACAUGAUAAAUGUUCAAAUAUUUUUUUUUCUUUCUCUUAUAUAAAAUGAAAUAGAAAGAUAAUUUGCAGAACUGAUACUUUUAUAAGUUUUAA